GACGAACGCUGGCGGCGUGCCUAACACAUGCAAGUCGAACGGAGAUACGAUUUCGGUUGUAUCUUAGUGGCGAACGGGUGAGUAACGCGUGAGCAACCUGACCUUCAGAGGGGGAUAACAUUUGGAAACAGAUGCUAAUACCGCAUAAGACCACGACCCGGCAUCGGGAUGAGGUCAAAGGAGUAAUCCGCUGAAGGAGGGGCUCGCGUCCCAUUAGAUAGAUGGCGGGGUAACGGCCCACCAUGUCGACGAUGGGUAGCCGAGCUGAGAGGCUGAUCGGCCACACUGGAACUGAGACACGGUCCAGACUCCUACGGGAGGCAGCAGUGGGGAAUAUUGGCAAUGGGCGCAAGCCUGACCCAGCAACGCCGCGUGAGGGAAGAGGGCUUUCGGGUUGUAAACCUCUGUCCUUGGUGACGAAACAAAUGACGGUAGCCAAGGAGGAAGCCCCGGCUAACUACGUGCCAGCAGCCGCCGUAA
rnacentral:rRNA from 1 species